GAUGAACGCUGGCGGCGUGCCUAAUACAUGCAAGUCGAGCGAACGGACGAGAAUCUUGCUUCUCUGAUGUUAGCGGCGGACGGGUGAGUCACACGUGGAUAACCUACCUAUUAGACUUGGAUAACUUCGGGAAACCGUAGCUAAUACCGGAUACUAUUUUUAACCUCAUGGUUCAAAAGUUAAAUACGUUCUUGCUGUCACUUCUAGAUGUAUCCUCGCUGCAUUAGCUAUUUGGUACGGUAACGGCUUACCAAGGCCACGAUGCAUAGCCGACCUGAGAGAGGGAUAGGCCACACGAGAAGGGAGACACGGACAAGACGACUAAGAGAGGCAGCAGUAGGGAAUCGUACGCAAUGGGCGAAAGCAUGACGGAGCAACGGCGAGUGAGUGAUGAAGGUCUUGGGAUCGUAAAAAUCUGUUAUGAGGGAAGAACAUAUGUGGAAGUAAAUGUGGACAUCGUGACGGUACCUAAACAGAAAGCAACGGCUAACUACGUG
rnacentral:rRNA from 1 species